GGUGUGUAGCUCAGUGGUUAGAGCACUACGUUCACAUCGUAGGGGUCGUAGGUUCAAAUCCUACCACACC
rnacentral:tRNA from 1 species